rnacentral:rRNA from 1 species
ACGAAGGGUGCAAGCGUUACUCGGAAUUACUGGGCGUAAAGCGUGCGUAGGUGGUUCGUUAAGUCUGAUGUGAAAGCCCUGGGCUCAACCUGGGAAUGGCAUUGGAUACUGGCGACCUAGAGUGCGGUAGUGGGUAGCGGAAUUCCCGGUGUAGCAGUGAAAUGCGUAGAUAUCAGUCGGAACACCGGUGGCGAAGGCGGCUUCUUGGGCCUUAACUGACGCUGAGGCGCGAAAGCUGGGGGAGCGAACGGGA